rnacentral:misc_RNA from 1 species
GCGGAGAGUUUUUUUCGCCGUACGAGGAAAGUGAAAGAAAGAGAGCUUGCAGUCUCGCGCGUGUCUCAGCUCAAAGUGCGUUCCUCGGGGUCUCAAAUUUAAUGAGAGGAGGGUAAAAAUGUCGUUCGUUUCGUUUGAAUUUAUCGGGAGCUCUUGCAGAAAGCAUUUCCAUCGAGAGAGGAGAUGCUGAGAAAAAGAUUUUGGCUUUCUUCGUCCACCGCCAAGUAAACCGACGAAAAUUGAGCGUUCGUACAAGAUUUGAAAGAGAGAAAAGGUAAAGUGUUUGUCUCUGGGAAACAAAAACAAAGCUUCGAGUCAAUCCGCUUCGGAAGGGGAUAAACAAAUAAAAAAAAAAAAAGAAGAAAAAAGGAAGAAUGUUGGCGCAAGGAGCAGACAACGGCGGGGACGGUGCGGGGGGCCCGGACAAAGCGAAAACUGACGCUUUGUACGAAAACCGUCCAACUCAUAAAAAAAUCAUUCGCGUAAUAACCGUCAUGGCGUACAUGGUCUCGGUCAGCUUCGUCGCAAUCGUCCUCAGCGGUUAUUACGUCUUUCUCUGGCAACCCCCGAAUCCGAGGCUUUUACAUCGCGCCCAUUUACGAGCGGAUCCCCAGAUCGAAUAUCGAGUGGAGGACGGGCCGAUUUCUCGGUCGAUCGAGCUCGCCGAUCGCGUCGAUUUGAGGCAAGAAAUUCUACGGAAUCGAGGGAUAAAGAUAAGCGAUGGAAUCGACGCGAAUGCGGAGUCGAGGGACCUCGGAAAAUCGGUGCCACGGAGGAAUAAAACAGUUUCGAAGGACACUCGCAUCUUCUCGGCAACGUGGAGGCCGAUUUUUCAAGCUUCACUGGGAACGAGAGCUUCGGCGAACGCGGACGAAACGAGGCUCAGUCCUGUUUACAAGAGUGUCAAUAAUGUGCCAAUAAAUAGGACGGAUUUCGCGACCAAUGAAUUCUCGAGAAAUCUUUCGACCACGGAAUCUGCGACGGUUCGGCUCGAGGGGAACGAAUCUUCCGAGUCGUUAACAGAAGAGGCGAUAAACGCUUCGACCCUGAAUCCAAUACUCAAGGACGUUUCAAAGCCUGACGUUGACAGCGACGGAGAUAAUUCCACGAAAGAUCCGUUGGAAAGAAGGUCAACGAGAAUUCUCGAUAUCAAUGAUCGCCGUAUAAUCGUCGCAGAGGCUCGUCAAGCUUUGGAAAACUACGAAGUUUCUAAUGCGAUGAACUCCACGUCCGGUUCAAAAACGUUUAACCUGUUUCCAGGAUAUCGAACGACGGAGAAAAUGGAGAACGGGUUGAAAACCCAAAGCGUCGUACGGCCGAAUGAAUUAGGCUCACACAUUGCCAGAGUGGCACCAACACGAGCUGCAACAAAUGACAGCCUGGACGACCAAAAGCACGAGAAAAACUUACCGGGCCAACCGCCAAGCAGAGAUUCUCUGGUGGAUUCGAGCACGGAAGACAUCGAUACUGUCAACGAAUUGGCGCUGGAGUCCUCGCCGUUGAUUGUACAACCUGAGCUGAAAUUCUCUGACGAAGACAAAGUUGAAACGAAGGAAGAACGUGUCUCGCAAGAAAUUGACGAUUUUAAUCUUUUGAGCCUUUGACUUUACCCAUCGAAUUAUUUUACUGUUUUUUCUUAACCAUUUCAAAUGUCAUUUUGGAAUCGGCUAUUCGAUCGACAAGAUUGUUUCUUCGCAUGAGGAAUCAAGUUGAUAAACUUGACACAGAUUUCAAUAAGUCGAAAUUCUUGCAAUUUAUAAAUAUUUUCUAAUCGAAUUUGAUGCUCUGAUUGUAACGAAAAUCAUUCGAAAAAUUGACAAUAUCUAAAAAAAACUUUCAAUUAGUUCCAGUAAAGUUCGAUUUUUUUCCGAACUGAUCCUGCAGGACAGUUUAGUACAAAAAAUAAUUUAAACUAUUCAACGAAUUCGAAUUUUCGCGACAGGAAAAUAAUCAUUUUCCAAUUCAAACGAUUUCAUAUAAGAAAUGAAAUAUCAUUCAAAUGAGAAUUCUCGUCGAAAUGAGAUUCAAAACAUUCGAUCAUUUCAACUACUGGAUAUUAAAAUUAUUCGAAACAAACAGUUGGAAGCGAGUAAUUUGACUAUAAAAAUGAUAAAAUAAGCGAGUCGGGUUGGUUCAAUCGAACAAUUGUUGAAUAGCUCCACGAAGUACAUAAAAAUAAUCUUAAAAUUUAUUUGACUUUUUGGUUGUAAAGGUCCAACUGUUCUCAUCCAGGUUGCACGAAUCUGGUGUCAAUAAUUGUAGCGAUAUCGUUUUUCGAAUAAAGAUCACAAUAAUUAUACAACACCGUUAAA